rnacentral:snoRNA from 1 species
AGUUGUGGUGACUUGCUUUCUGGCACAUUCGGUAAGUUUUCAAAGGAACCUAACUCUGCCACAUGUAUAGAAGUGGCCAAGGCUAGAUGACAAAGAGAUCCCUCUCAAGCCUUUCCUGCAUCAGAGACUGGCUCCCACAUGC